rnacentral:lncRNA from 1 species
ACUGUGAUUAAGAUAAAAUUAGCAUCGGAUACUACAACGAAAUUAUCAAAUCAAAUUUUUACUAUAAACCGGUCAUAACACUUAACUUCAACUAUUCUUAUGCACUUAUACAUCAGAUGCACCAAAAGCACAUAGUUUUCUCUCUCUUGCACGGCCAACUACCCAAGGAGUUAAAGUCGUUAUUAGGCCUAGGUUUUGAAAUUUUGGGUCCAAAAGUGAUUAUCGGCUCAAUGGAGGAUUUAACGACCUCGUUUUCAAAAUUUGCUUUAAAUUUUUAGAAUAAGUUUUAAUUUUCGAAACCCAAAAUUUGAAGUAGCUAAAUCCUAAUUCAAAUCUGGUUGUGAUUUUGGACUCAUAACUAAAUUAAAUUUUUUAUUUUACAUUAAAAUUUUAAAUUUAAAUUCAAAUUUCAAAUUUAAAUUUUAAAUUUAUAUUUGAAUUUUUAAAUUUCAAAUUCAAAGAUUUAUAAUUUAAAAUUCAAAUACUAAAUAAAAUUUUAAAUUUCAAAUCUCAAAUUUUAGAUUUCAAAAUUCAAAUCUUAUUUCAAAUUUUAAAUUUAAGAUAAAAUUUGAAAUUAGAAAUUAUAAAAAAUUAAAAAUAUAGGUUUUCAAAUGUUUAUAAUUCCAUUUUUAAUUUUUUUAAUUUUUAAAUUUUAAUUUUGAAUUUUGAAUUUUGAAUUUUAAAUUUGAAAUUUUAUAAUUUAAAGUUUUAAAUUUUAAAUAUUCAAAAUUUAAAUUUUAAAUUUAAAUU